ACGAUGAGCGUAGCGCGCGACGUGUCUCACUCUCGUGGUAGCUCCUUUGUAAAUGUUACAGAGUCCCCAAAUUCGUCCUCAUGCUCGGCGAAGCCUGUAUGUAGAAUAUUUGCGACGGAGGCUUGUCCACGACGUCGUUCAGGUGUGGCAACACUAGCCAGUCAUGGCCUGGCUCUCGUCGGGAGCGGACAUGUGGUUGGGCCCUCCGUCGUUGCGGAGAGGCGCCCCACGUCAGUUGUGUGCGGGCUCUCGUCAGGAGCAGUGGUGUGGUUGGCCGUUCCGUCACCGUGCGGAAAAGUCUUUCACGCAUAUAUCGCCAUGAGGGGGACUGAGGCGCCGUCUGAUGUAAUGGCUUACAACUAGCUAGCCACCUGUCGUCCAUCUCUGCAACCACCCAUUGUUGGCAAAGAGCAAGAUGGCGGUCUCUGGUCACUCGGCUGUUCUGGAGCGAUUUCUUCGACACAGCAUCGUUGAUUUUCAAAUAAAUUGUUUCUCUCCA